AGAAUCAACGCUGGCGGCGUGCCUAACACAUGCAAGUCGAGCGCGAAAGGGGGGCAACUCCUGAGUAGAGCGGCGAACGGGUGAGUAACGCGUGGGUAAUCUACCUUCGAGUGGGGAAUAACCCCGGGAAACUGGGGCUAAUACCGCAUGACAUCAUCGGGUCUUCGGGUCUGAUGAUCAAAGCCGGGACCGCAAGGCCUGGCGCUUGAAGACGAGCCCGCGUCCGAUUAGCUAGUUGGCGGGGUAAUGGCCCACCAAGGCUUCGAUC
rnacentral:rRNA from 1 species